AUCACUAGUCAGUGUUGAAUCUUUUUAACUCUUCAUUUUAAGAGGAACAUUGUCUCCGAAAAAAGGUCCCUCUAAAUGUGUUAUGCAGUGCAGGAAAAUACAGUACAUUGUAAGUAAAUUUAGUUAAAUAAAUCCAGAGGUGGGUAGUAACGAAUUACACUUACAUCGUUACAUUUACUUGAGUAGGUUUUUCAAAAUAAAGUACUUGUAUGAGUAGUUUUAAAUCAUUAUACUUUUUACUUUUACUGGAGUAGAUUUAUGAAAAAAAACAGUACUCUUACUCCGCUACAUUAGGCUAUACUGAGCUCGUUACUCGUUACAGAGAUACUGGAUAAAGCUUUAACUAUAUUCUCUAUAGAUCCAUGAUCCAGUAUCUCUACUUUUAUUUUGUCAGAGAGUGACUUCCGCCCAAGGCUCUACCGCGCGACUGUGACCAAUGAAAUGUAGCCCUUGCUGCGCGGUCUCGUCACGUGACCAUACUCGAUCUCGGUGGCGGGACGGAUAAGUUUCGCGGUCAAUAUCCACCACAGCAGAAAAUGGCGGAAUCAACGGUCAACAAUGCUGACAAAGACAACGAGGUACACCUGUGGCCUCGUAUUGAAAGUACGUUUACGUAACAAACAGUGCGAAACAGCAGUUUCAUCGUGCGGUGUCUUCUGUGUCGGCCCAAACAGACGGAUAUUUCAGCUUUCAAAAGCUCAUCGUCCAAUCUGAGGAAACAUGUUGCGGUGUCAGUUACCUCUUCAGUACAAAGGCUGGUCAACAGACAAGUCAACUAAUGUCCGGUCUAAAUGUGCUGUGCUCAGUGGACCUCUGUGGGACCUGGUGUCUUGUGGACUGGAACCACUGGGAAACUACUGCCAGUUCAUUCCAGGUCAACCUGUGGAGCAGGAUUCAGGAGUCAUGGCACUUUUAUUGGUUUGAAGUGGCCUCCGACUUAGCUCCAGGGUGUGCAGGCCCUCCUGUCGACCCAGUGCAUGUUGCGUUCCCACCUUGUGGGCCGUCUCUGUGGCAGUGAUGUCAAUCUGGGCAUAUCUGGUAAAGCUCUUUCCUGACAAGACACAAAAACUCAAUUUAACAAACAGGUAAAACAUUUGAGAUCAGGAUUCACAGACUGGAUUAAGAUAAACAUCUGAGUGACAAGGCUGUACACCACCACUUUACUUCACACCUGUGUCAGCUGUCAGGAUUGUCUACUCAUGGACAAGGGCUCAGGAGUGUUGUCCACUGGUGAAUAUGUCCAACUACAAAGGUCUACAGACAGGAGAAUGGAGAUAGUGAAGGAAGAGGGCAGCAAUGCAUCCAGAGAGAGCCCCAACUGGACGGACUUAACACAGGAACCCAAUGAAUGAAUGCAAGAUGCAUCUGCGGAAAAGUGUGCAAAAACCCACGUGGCCUAAAGAUACAUCUGGCCAGGAUAAAGUGUAGGGACCAGGGGAACAUACUGCACAGGACCUAGUUCUGGUAAGACGCAGGAGGAGCCCGACCAGGAAGCAACCCACAGUGCCCAGCCUCUCCAAGCAGUAGAACCUCUGAAUCCCUGCAGGAUAGUCCAACAGAAGCGGAGCAGGUGGCCUUUGGCCUUUGAUUGCAGCCUUAAAGAAUCCACAUCCAUCCAGAGAACCAGCAAGGAGCUCGAGGACUGGCUGAGGCGUGUUGACAAAUCAGGCCUGCCAGGGAGAUUUAAGGCUUGGAUUUACCAACAUUCCGUCCUGCCCCAGAUCCUGUGGCCUCUGCUAGUGUACGCAGUACCCAUGACAACUCUUGAGGCCAUGGAGAGAAAGAUCAGCAGCUACUUGCGAAGAUGGCUUGGCCUACCCUGCAGCCUGAGCAGUGCUGCCCUGUACGGAAGUAGUAACAUCUUGCAGCUCCCGUUCAGUGGACUCACUGAAGAGUUCAUUCAGUUCAGACCAGAACACAGGGGGAAUCCUGCAGUACAGGGAAUCCUGUGAUGUGAAAGUGGCAUCGGCUGGCAUCCAGGUGAGAACAGGCAUGAAGGGCAGACCAUGCUCUGGAAGUGGCAGAGUCGCGACUGAUGCAGAAGGUGCUGGUGGGGUCCAUAGCCUCAGGGCGUGCAGGGAUUGGCUAUUUCCCAGCAACCAGGGUGCAUAAGGCUCAGGGAAAAGAGCGCCAACACCUCAUUCAGGAGGAAGUGCAGGCAGGCGUGGAGGAAGAAUGAGCCGGCAGGUUGGUGGGGAUGAGGCAACAAGGAGCAUGGACUAAAUUGGAGAACGUUCUGCAAUGAAAGAUCACCUGGUCCAACGUCUAAAAAGCAGACACCCUUAACAGUCCAGGCUGUUUACGAUGUCCUACCAAGCCCAACCAACCUCUACGUCUGGGUCAAAACAGAGACACCAUCCUGUCCCCAGUGUCCAGGACAGGGAUCCCUAGAACACCUCCUCAGCAGCUGCCCAAAAGCCCUUGGAGAAGGGCGCCAUCGCUGGCGUCAUCACCAUGACCAAGUGCUAAAGGCGGUUGCUGAGAGCACAACCAUGGCCAUUAACACCAUCAAGAGCCACAACAAGCCUAAGACCAUCAGUUUCCACAGAGCUGGAGAGAAGCCCGACAUCCAACCAAGGGCCAGGUCAGGCCUCUUCACCUCCGCCCCUGACUGGCCACUGGAAGUGGAGCUAGGCAAACAGCUGAAGAUUCCAGCCAGAAUUACAUCCACACGGCUCUGACCAGAUUUGAUCAUUGCCUCACAUUCCCUCAAGCAGCUGAUCAUUCUGGAACUCACAGUUCCCUGGGAAGAGCGCAUGGAAGAGGCCAAUGAGAGGAAGCGUGCCAAGUACCAGGAGCUGGUGGAUGUGCAGGAGCCAAGGCUGGAAGACUGUGAACCCCUGGAGGUAGGUUGCAGAGGAUUUGCAGGGCGGUCCCUCUGCAAAGUCCUCACUAUGCUGGGCCUCACAGGGGAGGCAAAGAGGAAGGCCAUCAGAUCUGCAACUGAAGUCGCAGAGAAAGCCACAAGUGAAAAGUGACAAAGAAAGACAUUUCCAAACAAUUGUGAAAGGAAUCAUUGCUCUCUACACCCACACUGUUGCUGGAGGUAUGAGACUGUGUUACCACAUGAAACUCAGGAGCAUGUAAAUGAGUCAAGUGAAGCCUUUAACAUUCAACUCAUGCACUCGCUUCCAUAUCACAUCACUGGCAUUAUCAUAUCUGCGUCCUUCGCUGUGUGACACUGAAAUGAGCAGGACGUUGGGUUUAAUCACCACAAGGCAUGAAUGACUAUCAAAGGGAGAUGUUGCUGCCUCCUCCUCUAAUGACUUCAGUUGUGUUUCAGACAAUCUCACGCAAUGGAGGAAAUUGAAACCAGCUUCUUACAAGAAAUCAGCCGUCCCUGCAGCGGGAUCCUAUCAUAGCCAGCUGUGACCUAUGACCUCUCCAUCAGCAGCCAUUGGACACCACACACUCCCAGGUGCCAGAUUAAUGAGGUUGCUGACCAGGAUAUCAACUGUACUGCUGCCAUCAGAAAUGAACCUCUGGUAUUAGAGCCCUGGUGGUCUGCAUAUUCCUGAUGCUAAUAGCCAACGUAUGUGUGGAGUAUACAGUAGCUCAUGACCAAGUCCCUAAUGACACGGACUCAGAGGUAAUGAACUCAGACCACAUCAGCUCAGACAAUCUGAUGAUGUUAAAUGGAAUUAAAAAGCAAUUAGUGUUUUGGAAAAUGAAUGUCCAGCAUGGCACGGAUAUCCUGGUCUGAACUAAAUUAAUCUUGAAAUUGUCUGAUUUGAAAAGAAAAAAAAAGCCCUAAAGCCACAACGCUGUCAAGGUGUGACAGGAGA